rnacentral:rRNA from 1 species
GACAGAGGGUGCAAACGUUGUUCGGAAUUACUGGGCGUAAAGCGUGUGUAGGCGGCCUUGCAAGUCGGAUGUGAAAGCCCCGGGCUUAACCCGGGAAGUGCACUCGAAACUGCUUGGCUAGAGUAUCGGAGAGGUUGGUGGAAUUCUCGGUGUAGAGGUGAAAUUCGUAGAUAUCGAGAGGAACACCGGUGGCGAAGGCGGCCAACUGGACGAAUACUGACGCUGAGACACGAAAGCGUGGGGAGCAAACAGG